CCUACGGGAGGCAGCAGUGGGGAAUAUUGCACAAUGGGGGAAACCCUGAUGCAGCGACGCCGCGUGAGUGAAGAAGUAUUUCGGUACGUAAAGCUCUAUCAGCAGGGAGGAAAAUGACGGUACCUGACUAAGAAGCCCCGGCUAACUACGUGCCAGCAGCCGCGGUAAUACGUAGGGGGCAAGCGUUAUCCGGAUUUACUGGGUGUAAAGGGAGCGUAGACGGCAGCGCAAGUCUGGAGUGAAAUCCCAUGGCUUAACCAUGGAACUGCUUUGGAAACUGUGCAGCUAGAGUGCAGGAGAGGUAAGCGGAAUUCCUAGUGUAGCGGUGAAAUGCGUAGAUAUUAGGAGGAACACCAGUGGCGAAGGCGGCUUACUGGACUGUAACUGACGUUGAGGCUCGAAAGCGUGGGGAGCAAACAGGAUUAGAUACCCUAGUAGUC
rnacentral:rRNA from 1 species